AAAGAUCGCAGUUUUGCACGGUUUAUGUCCAAAGUUUGACCGUCCGUCUUAUUUUAAAAGAUUGUAUGAUUACUAUUUUUUUGUUGUUAUUAGAUGAUAAAAUAUGAAUAGUACUUUAUGAGUUACUAUUUUUUAAAUAUUUUUUUAUAAAAUUUUCAAAUAAAAGGAAAGGUUAAAUUUUGGAUACACAAACCUACGACUACACUUAAA
rfam:Oryza glaberrima chromosome 6 Oglab06_0220_12, whole genome shotgun sequence.